rnacentral:rRNA from 1 species
CCUACGGGGGGCAGCAGUGGGGAAUAUUGGACAAUGGGCGAAAGCCUGAUCCAGCCAUGCCGCGUGUGUGAAGAAGGCCUUCGGGUUGUAAAGCACUUUCAGUGGGGAAGAAAGCCUUGGGGCUAAUACCCUCGAGGAAGGACUUCACCCACAGAAGAAGCACCGGCUAACUCCGUGCCAGCAGCCGCGGUAAUACGGAGGGUGCGAGCGUUAAUCGGAAUUACUGGGCGUAAAGCGCGCGUAGGCGGUCUGAUAAGCCGGUUGUGAAAGCCCCGGGCUCAACCUGGGAACGGCAUCCGGAACUGUCAGGCUAGAGUGCAGGAGAGGAAGGUAGAAUUCCCGGUGUAGCGGUGAAAUGCGUAGAGAUCGGGAGGAAUACCAGUGGCGAAGGCGGCCUUCUGGACUGACACUGACGCUGAGGUGCGAAAGCGUGGGUAGCAAACAGGAUUAGAUACCCGUGUAGUC